rfam:Myotis lucifugus cont2.23611, whole genome shotgun sequence.
GGCUGUUCUCGGGUGACACACUUCAGAAUCGGUUUCCUUCCUCUCUGGUUCUGGGGUGCAUCAUCUGAGAACCACC